AUUGCAGUACCUGGAAUUAAGUUGACUGUGCAGCCUUUUUAAAGCAAUGGCUUCAGCUCACCAUUCUCAAGUCAGCAACUUGAUUCCAGCAAUUGCGAUAU
rnacentral:pre_miRNA from 1 species